GAUGAACGCUGGCGGCGUGCCUAAUACAUGCCAGUCGAGCGAACGGACGAGAAGCUUGCUUCUCUGAUGUUAGCGGCGGACGGGUGAGUAACACGUGGAUAACCUACCUAUUAGUCUGGGAUAACUUCGGGAAACCGGAGCUAAUACUGGAUGAUAUUUUGAACCGCAUGGUUCAAAAGUGAUAGACGGUCUUGCUGUCACUUAUAGAUGGAUCCGCGCUGCAUUAGCUAGUUGGUAAGGUAACGGCUUACCAAGGCAACGAUGCAUAGCCGACCUGAGAGGGUGAUCGGCCACACUGGAACUGAGACACGGUCCAGACUCCUACGGGAGGCAGCAGUGGGGAAUCUUCCGCAAUGGGCGAAAGCCUGACGGAGCAACGCCGCGUGAGUGAUGAAGGUCUUCGGGUCGUAAAACUCUGUUAUUAGGAAAGAACAGAUGUGUAAUUAACUGUGCACAUCUUGACGGUACCUAAUCAGAAAGCCACGGCUAACUACGUG
rnacentral:rRNA from 1 species